AAUAGCGGCAUGCUACGUCGUAUGGGGAAUGGCUCGGCUCGAGCGCCGAAGAAGGUCGUGUCAAGCUGCGAUAUGCACCGGGUAGUUGCAAGAAGACUAUGAUCCGGUGAUUACCUAAUGGGACUUCCUAUUCUUCGGAAUGCUCCGGAAGGAGCGGGAACGCGGGGGAUCGAAACAUCCUAGUACCCGCAGGAAAAGAAAUCAACCGAGAUGCCGUCAGUAAAGGCGAUCGAACGCGGCACAGAGCAAACCGAAUCGCUGAUAGAAAUGUCAGCGAGUUGUGGUGUUGUGGGCCCGGAUACAUCUUCGCUGGUCAACCUGAAGUCGCCUGGAAAGGCGCACCAUAGUGGGUGACAGUCCUUUAAGGAUCAGCCAGAAAGAUGAGUUUCGGUGUCCCAGAGUAACGUGCGUUGGAUAUCGCGCGUGAAGCUGGGGAACAUUCAUCUCCAACUCUAAAUACGUCUCGAGACCGAUAGUGCAGUAGUAGCGUGAGUGAAAGCUGAAAAGUACCCUUGACGGGAGGUCAAAAGAGCCUGAAACCAUCCGACUAUAACCAGAUGUGGCGUUAAAGCGUAGAAGCUCGCAAGAGUGGAGCAGCGUUGCAUCAUCCGUUUUGAAAAACGGGCCAGCGAGUUCUGUUCAGUGGCGAGACUAAGGUAUUGAAUACCGGAGUCGUAGGGAAACCAACAAGCACGCAACACCGUAAGGUGCGAGGUGCGAGGUGCGCUCGCCUGGAGUCACUGGAGGGAUACCCGAAGCCAGUUGAUCUAUGCGUGGGUAGGUUGAAGCCCCUCGAAAGGGGGGUGGAGGACCGAACCGGUAGUGAUGUGCAAAUCCUUCGGAUAACCUGCGUAUAGGGGUGAAAGGCCAAUCUAAACUGGAAAUAGCUGGUUCCUCUCGAAACUUGUCGCAGCAAGACCUCAGCUGAGGCUGAUUGUGGGGUAGAGCGACUGAUCAGGACUUAGGCCGGGAAACCGGUCGGUUCCUUGUCAAACUCCGAACCUGCGAUCGUCGUAGACGCUGGGAUUGAGGGCCUCUGGGGUAAGCUUGGGGUCCAUAAGGAAAUGAAUCCAGCCUAGGGUUAAGGUCCCUAAAUACCGGCUAAGUGAAACAUGAAACUGCGUCCGCAGUCUAAGACAACCGGGAGGUGGGCUUAGAAGCAGCCAUCCUUCAAAGAAAGCGUAACAGCUCACCGGUCGAGAUUGUGGGCCGGGAAGAUGGACGGGUCUAAAGCCGGUUACCGAUACCCUAGAGCACCGCAAGGUGAUCUGGUAGAGAGGUGACGUGCAUGGGUAGAAGUUUGGCCGUGAGGUCAAGUGGACCGUGCUCGUAUAUGGAUGCUGGUAGGAGUAGCAGCAAAGAUUGGUGAGAAUCCAAUCCGCCGCAGGGGCCAGGGUUCCUCGGCAAUGUUCGUCAGCCGAGGGUUAGCCGAUCCUAAGACGACUCUUAAUCGAAGUCGCCGAAAGGGAAGCAGGUUAAUAUUCCUGCGCCAUGAUAGUCAUCGCCUAGUAGCUUAGCAUUCGGAUAGCUCGAGCAGGGGUGUCAAUCUGUUCAAGCGUUGAAGCCUUCGGAGAACCGUAAUGGUGAGAAGUUGGUGAAUGCGUGAGUAGGCGGGCGUAGGCCCGCUUCGAGUGAUUCCAGGUGCCAAUGAAAGAGUUACUAGUUUAGGCUAUUGUGUUCGUACCUAGAACUGACACAGGUGCCCCUAGGUGAGAAGCCUAAGGCGUGUCGGCGUAAUCCAUGCGAGGGAAUUCGGCAAAUUAGCCCCGUACCUUUGGUAUAAGGGGUGCCAGCAAUGAGAAUUGCUGGUCUCAGUAACAAGGGAGCUCGACUGUUUAAUAAAAACAUAUGUCACAGCUAGUUCGAAAGGAUUUGUAUUGUGGCUGAAGCCUGCCCAGUGACGGUAUCUGAACCUCUGUUUCAACGGAGCGAAGGACCGUUAAACGGCGGGGGUAACUAUGACCCUCUUAAGGUAGCGUAAUACCUUGUCGCUUAAUUGGCGACUUGCAUGAAGGCCCAACGAGAGCUCUACUGUCCCCGCAUGGAGACCGGUGAAACUGAUAGUACCGGCGCACAAUCCGGUAUCUUCCACCUGAAAGCGAAGACCCCAUGGAGCUUUACUGCAACCUGUUGUUGUGGUACGAGCCUCGAUGUGUAGCGUAGGCAGGAGUCGUUACCAGGGCUUGCCGCUAGGCAAGUUCCGAGACAUCAAUGAAACACUGCCCUUCGGGACUCGUAUCACUUACUCCUUCGGGAGGACAGCUAUAGGUAGGCAGUUUGGGUGGGGCGCCACGCGCUCAAAAAGAUAACAAGCGCGCCCAAAGGUCAGCUCAGGCAGGUCAGAAAUCUGCCGUUGAAUGCAAGGGUAUAAGCUGGCUUGACGCGGGUUGGGACAAUAACAAUCCGCGAUACGAAAGUAGGGCCUAGCGAACCACUCAGCCUUCUGAAUGGGGGCGAGUGAUAACAGAAAAGUUACCCUGGGGAUAACUGAGUCGUCGCUAGCAAGAGUUCAUAUCGACCUAGCGGUUUGCUACUUCGCUGUCGGCUCUCCCUAUCCUGGCGGUGCAGCAUCUGCCAAGGGUGGGGUUGUUCGCCCAUUAAAAGGGAUCGUGAGCUGGGUUUAGACCGUCGUGAGACAGGUUUGUUGCUUUUUGGUGGAAGUGUAUUGAUGCCUGACGGGAAGGAUCCUUUAGUACGAGAGGAACAGGGAUUCGUCGCCUCUAGUUCAUCAGUUGUCUGGCAAGGCACUGCUGAGCAGCCACGCGAUAAUGGAUAAGAGCUGAACGCAUCUAAGCUCGAAACUACCCCGGAAAAGAGGCAUCUUAGGACACCCGUAGAUGACGGGAUUGAUAGGACAGGGGUGUAAGUACCAAGGUUCUCCGAGGUAUUCAGCCUGCUGUUACUAACGUUCUCGCCGCUAGG
rfam:Methanomassiliicoccales archaeon RumEn M1 contig00004, whole genome shotgun sequence.